UGCUCUGUCGAGGGAGAGGAGAUGCUUC
rnacentral:piRNA from 1 species